GAUGAACGCUGGCGGCGUGCCUAAUACAUGCAAGUCGAGCGAACAGACGAGGAGCUUGCUCCUCUGACGUUAGCGGCGGACGGGUGAGUAACACGUGGAUAACCUACCUAUAAGACUGGGAUAACUUCGGGAAACCGGCGCUAAUACCGUAUAAUAUCUUGAACCGCAUGGUUCAAUAGUGAAAGACGGUUUUGCUGUCACUUAUAGAUGGAUCCGCGCCGCAUUAGCUAGUUGGGAAGGUAACGGCUUACCAAGGCAACGAUGCGUAGCCGACCUGAGAGGGUGAUCGGCCACACUGGAACUGAGACACGGUCCAGACUCCUACGGGAGGCAGCAGUAGGGAAUCGUCCGCAAUGGGCGAAAGCUUGACGGAGCAACGCCGCGUGAGUGAUGAAGGUCUUCGGAUCGUAAAACUCUGUUAUUAGGGAAGAACAAAUGUGUAAGUAAAUAUGCACGUCUUGACGGUAACUAAUCAGAAAGCCACGGCUAACUACGUG
rnacentral:rRNA from 1 species